GACGAACGCUGGCGGCGUGCUUAACACAUGCAAGUCGAACGGUGAUGCUCCAGCUUGCUGUAGUGGAUCAUUGGCGAACGGGUGAGUAACACUUGGGCAACCUUCCCCAGACUCUGGAGUAAGCGCGGGAGACGGCGUCUAAUACUGGAUACGAAACUGGCCCGCAUGUUCAUGCUUUGGAAAUUUUUUCGGUUUGGGAUGGGCUCGCGGCCUAUCAGCUUGUUGGUGAGGUAAUGGCUCACCAAGGCGACGACGGGUAGCCGGCCUGAGAGGGCGACCGGCCACACUGGGACUGAGACACGGCCCAGACUCCUACGGGAGGCAGCAGUGGGGAAUAUUGCACAAUGGGCGAAAGCCUGAUGCAGCGACGCCGCGUGAGGGAUGACGGCCUUCGGGUUGUAACCCUCUUUCAGCAGGGAAGAAGCGAAAGUGACGGUACCUGCAGAAGAAGCACCGGCUAACUACGUG
rnacentral:rRNA from 1 species